rnacentral:rRNA from 1 species
UGGGGAAUAUUGCACAAUGGGCGAAAGCCUGAUGCAGCGACGCCGCGUGAGGGAUGACGGCCUUCGGGUUGUAAACCUCUUUCAGUAGGGAAGAAGCGAAAGUGACGGUACCUGCAGAAGAAGCGCCGGCUAACUACGUGCCAGCAGCCGCGGUAAUACGUAGGGCGCAAGCGUUAUCCGGAAUUAUUGGGCGUAAAGAGCUCGUAGGCGGUUUGUCGCGUCUGCCGUGAAAGUCCGGGGCUUAACUCCGGAUCUGCGGUGGGUACGGGCAGACUAGAGUGAUGUAGGGGAGACUGGAAUUCCUGGUGUAGCGGUGAAAUGCGCAGAUAUCAGGAGGAACACCGAUGGCGAAGGCAGGUCUCUGGGCAUUAACUGACGCUGAGGAGCGAAAGCAUGGGGAGCGAACAGG